UGGGGGAUAUUGCACAAUGGGCGAAAGCCUGAUGCAGCGACGCCGCGUGGGGGAUGAAGGCUUUCGGGUUGUAAACCUCUUUCGCUAUCGAACAAGGCCCGCUUAGGGUGGGUUGAGGGUAGGUGGAGAAGAAGCGCCGGCUAACUACGUGCCAGCAGCCGCGGUAAUACUUAGGGCGCGAGCGUUGUCCGGAAUUAUUGGGCGUAAAGGGCUUGUAGGCGGCUUGUUGCGCCUUCUGUGAAAACGCGGGGCUUAACUUCGCGCGUGCAGUGGGUACGGGCAGGCUUGAGUGUGGUAGGGGUGACUGGAAUUCCAGGUGUAGCGGUGGAAUGCGCAGAUAUCUGGAGGAACACCGAUGGCGAAGGCAGGUCACUGGGCCAUUACUGACGCUGAGGAGCGAAAGCAUGGGUAGCGAACAGG
rnacentral:rRNA from 1 species